GUGGUGUUCUACCUGGAUUUAGAAGUUCACAAAUAACUGUGUCUCUGGAAGAGUAAAGUAAUCUUAAAUAAAUGCCUGUGAUAACUCUUCCUGUUUCUUAGAGAUCUUCAGCCAACUUGCUUGGUUUAUAAACCGAAGUUGCAUACCAAAUGCUAUAUCGCUAUAGAAAAAUAUAACAGCUUACCAUAGUACCAAUAUGAUAAUUUUAUUUUAUUUUAUUUCCUCCAGAACCCAUUUCUCAAUGAGGACUCCACCAUUCAGCCAUCUCAAAACAAUUACCAUUGGAAAGCUCUAACUUCCAGAGGAGGAAGGAAUUGGUGUCAGAUGCCUUGAAUCGUCAGCUUCCUCUGAGCCUGGGCAGGCUUAUGGUUGCAGCACCGGAGCUCCGCAGUGGCUGGUGACACCUGGAAGAGGCUGCAGCUCUGCACCGCAUGUCCCUGGCUGCUGCAUCUCCGGCAGUGACUUUGCUCUCAGGGGAAUUCAAUAAUGGUCCUCAGGAGCUUUUGAGCAUGGAUUUGAAGAGUACAGCAGGGAAUACACAUGAAAAACAGCCAGGAUGUGCCACAAAGGUGAACAUCCACAGCACUAUCACCCCAUCACCCAGGUAUUUUACUGCAUCCAUUUCACAAAAGGGCACGAGCACAAAGAGAGUAAAUAGCCAUUAGGCAUGUGUGGGGCCUGAUGAUAUGGCUAAUACGGAGAAAAUUAAACGUAUUACCCAGAGAAAACAAAACACCAUGAGAAGAUGCCAAUGGGACGCAGAACCAGCAGUACUUUCUGUAAGGGUCCAAAUUCUCAAUUUUCCAUCCAGGCUUUUGAAAUAAGGGUGGCUGCUUCUGUGCCACUGUGGCUUUGGGGGCAAUGUGCUAAACUUGCUCGUCUGAGCAACACAGAUGAAUAGAAUGUGAUGCUGCGCCACUCAAACAUAAAAGGUAAGAACUAUCGUUGUGGCAUUGCCAGUCACAUGGGCACACUGAGUUGCAGCCAAAAGCCCCAGUGAAGUUAAUGGGACGACUCCUGGUGAUUUCAGGAGGUUUUGGAGGAGGCCUCAUGGUUAUACAGUGCUCUGUGAGAGAUCUGUGUUACACAGGUCCUUCAGUGUGUCCAGCCCAAAUAAAUAAAGGUGUAUUUUUUACUCCUUGCUGUAA
rnacentral:lncRNA from 1 species